UCUUGAUUAGUUAUGGGUUUAUAGUUGUUUAAUUUGGUGGGUAUUGAUUGUUCUAGGGUUUCGGGUUAUUAGGAAUCUGUAAAGAUUUUGAAUCUGUUUGUGUGUAUUUCGGUAUAUAUUGGUUUUCUUUUUGUUAUGUGAUGAUUUUGAAAUUUAACUACAUUGUUUGGUUAUAUUGGUAUGUACAUCUGAGUUUGUUUUGUACUCCAUUCACUGGUACUUCAGGUUUCCAAGUACCACACACUAGGGUUGGGUGUUGCUUGGUUGCUGCUUUUACCUACCCACCAUAACUGACCUCUUUAAGCUUUUUUCCCUAAAUCGCAGGCGUCAUUAGAUUGGUCCCCCACAUCAGCUAACCAUCAUCGUCACCACAUUCACCAUUGCUCGCCACUUGCAAAACCCUAACCUUGCCCAACACCAUCUAUAAGCCCUAAUCGAACACUAGGGCAUUGGAAUUGCCUUCAAUCGAAGUCCCUGUUGAACACCUGUUUGCAUCUUCCACCAGCACAGGCCACCUACAUCAACAACACCAUCUUCAUCGUCAACCUACGCCUCCACACUCACACCUCUGAUAAAGUACUUUGCUCUAUCUCGCUAUGUAUAGUUCAUAAUUUUUGUCAAUUAAACAUCCUCAGAUAACCUUUUGGUUGGUAAUUUUGUGUAACUAGACAUAUUGAUGGUUGUGUGGAUGCAACACAUCACACUAAAUUACCCGAUAACUCGCACCUUUGCUUGUAGAGGUUACAUUGAAGCUACAUAGAAGCUAUCUCAGUUCAAAUUAAUUAUAUGGCCAAAGUUAAGUUUUGGGUUUUAUUUUUGACCUUUAGUAAGAGAAUAAAUUGGUUGCUGACUUGCUGUUGACGUGGGAUCUGAUGAUUUUAAGCUACUCACCAUAAUAGGAAAUGGUGCUCUUGGUGAGGGUGAUAUUUAUGAGCAAAGAACCCAAUUUGCGUGGGAGAAUCUUCGAACAAAGUUGAUGUUACCAGUAAGUUUAAAAGUGGGAACAAAAUACAGAAGAGUACACUUUGUUUAGCUAACCGAAAUUUGGAUUUACAUAUUGAGGUUGCGUGAUAAUGUUGCCAAAAGGGUUUUGAGAAAGUAUGUUAGGGAGUCACCUCUGGUUCAGAAUGAUGACAUAUUCUGCA